rnacentral:tRNA from 1 species
GCCACCGUAGCUCAGUCGGUAGAGCAGGUCAUUCGUAAUGAUCAGGUCGCUGGUUCGAUUCCAGUCGGUGGCU